AAAAGAAGUCUUUCAAGAUCAGGGCACCUGUCUAGCUCAGUAGGUGGAACAUGCAAUUCUUGUAUCUCCAGGUUGUGAGUUCAAGCACCACAUUGGUUGUAGAGAUUACCUAAAAAUAAAAUCUUAAAAAAAA